AAAGUACUUCCUCCGUUCCAAAAUUCUUGUCUUAGAUUUGUCUAGAUACGGAUGUAUCAAGUCACAUUUUAGUAUUAGAUACAUCCGUAUCUAGACAAAUCUAAGACAAGAAAUUUGGGACAGAGGGAGUAGUUG
rnacentral:pre_miRNA from 1 species